AACGUAGGAGGCAAGCGUUAUCCGGAGUUACUGGGCGUAAAGCGCGUGCAGGUGGAUCGAUCAGUUGGUUAUGAAAGCUCCUGGCUAAACUGGGAGAGGUUGACCAAUACUGUCGAUCUAGAGUGGAGAAGAGGUAAACGGAAUUCCGCGUGUAGUGGUGAAAUGCGUAGAGAUGCGGAAGAACACCAGUGGCGAAGGCGGUUUACUGGUCUCCAACUGACACUCAGACGCGAAAGCAUGGGUAGCGAACGGG
rnacentral:rRNA from 1 species